rnacentral:rRNA from 1 species
GGAUUAGAUACCCUGGUAGUCCACGCUGUAAACGAUGAUCACUAGACGUUGGGCUUGCUUGCAGGCUCAGUGUCGCAGCUAACGCGAUAAGUGAUCCACCUGGGGACUACGGUCGCAAGAUUAAAACUCAAAGGAAUUGACGGGGGUCCGCACAAGCGGUGGAACAUGUGGUUUAAUUCGUCAUUACGCGAGAAACCUUACCUAGGCUUGACAUGCUUUUGAUUGCUGUAGAGAUACAGAGUUCUAGAUUUCGGUUUAGACAAUUGCACAGGUGCUGCAUGGCUGUCGUCAGCUCGUGUCG